rnacentral:rRNA from 1 species
UACGUAGGGACCGAGCGUUGUCCGGAAUCAUUGGGCGUAAAGAGCGUGUAGGCGGCCACUUAAGUCCUGCGUGAAAUCUUGCGGCUCAACCGCAAGCGGUCGUGGGAAACUGGGUGGCUAGAGUGCGGGAGAGGAGAGUGGAAUUCCUGGUGUAGCGGUGGAAUGCGCAGAUAUCAGGAAGAACACCCGUGGCGAAGGCGGCUCUCUGGAAUGCAACUGACGCUGAGACGCGAAAGCGUGGGGAGCAAACAGG